rnacentral:rRNA from 1 species
GAUGAACGCUGGCGGCGUGCCUAAUACAUGCAAGUCGAGCGAACAGACGAGGAGCUUGCUCCUCUGACGUUAGCGGCGGACGGGUGAGUAACACGUGGAUAACCUACCUAUAAGACUGGGAUAACUUCGGGAAACCGGAGCUAAUACCGGAUAAUAUAUUGAACCGCAUGGUUCAAUAGUGAAAGACGGUUUUGCUGUCACUUAUAGAUGGAUCCGCGCCGCAUUAGCUAGUUGGUAAGGUAACGGCUUACCAAGGCGACGAUGCGUAGCCGGCCUGGGAGGGUGAUCGGCCACACUGGAACUGAGACACGGUCCAGACUCCUACGGGAGGCAGCAGUAGGGAAUCUUCCGCAAUGGGCGAAAGCCUGACGGAGCAACGCCGCGUGAGUGAUGAAGGUCUUCGGAUCGUAAAACUCUGUUAUUAGGGAAGAACAAAUGUGUAAGUAACUAUGCACGUCUUGACGGUACCUAAUCAGAAAGCCACGGCUAACUACGUG